rnacentral:tRNA from 1 species
UCCCCAAUAGCUCAGUCAGUAAAUCAUCUGCCUGCAAUGCAGGAGACCCAGGUUCAAUUCCUGGAGGAGGAA